rnacentral:rRNA from 1 species
AAUACGUAGGGUGCGAGCGUUAUCCGGAAUUAUUGGGCGUAAAGAGCUCGUAGGCGGUUUGUCGCGUCUGUCGUGAAAGUCCGGGGCUUAACCCCGGAUCUGCGGUGGGUACGGGCAGACUAGAGUGCAGUAGGGGAGACUGGAAUUCCUGGUGUAGCGGUGGAAUGCGCAGAUAUCAGGAGGAACACCGAUGGCGAAGGCAGGUCUCUGGGCUGUAACAGACGCUGAGGAUCGAAAGCAUGGGGAGCGCACAGG